AAAAUCUAUCUGUGGAUAUGCAGAAAAGUUUGGGGAUGAGAAUUAGGUGUGGAAAGAGCCACCGGAGCGUAGAGAAAUCAAAAUGAAUGCAGGAAAUUGUGUGCGGAUGCUCGGGCAAACCGUCAUCGGAGAACACUAAAUUAUGCAUUGGCGAAUGCUCUGCAAUGAUCGGGUUGCUUGAAACAGCGGAAAUGGAUGGUACAUAAUUGAGGAGAGAGUGAAACAUAACUACAAGGGCUGAAAAUUGUGGAUAAAAAGUCUUCUGGCCUUCACACAAGUACAUAAAUGUGUACACAAGAGAUCUAGUCCGCCAGGUAAGGGAAAAUAACAUAAAUGUUGUAAAAGCAUACAACAUAAUUGCAGCAUUCUUUGGGAAUGAAGGCAAAACGGUCACUUCAAGUUUGGGAACUAAGGAGCAGGCAAACAAUGAUGUCAGAAAACCGUCGAGGCAUUCGAUGAACUAGGAGCAAGGACCAGGACUUCAUGUCUAGGGUGCAAACAGACGAUAAAGUUCGAAUCAAUAAUCUUAUGUGG